GUUGAAGGUUAUCAGUGACGACGGCUACCAUAAUAAUCACAUAAAAUGGAGAUAAAGAAGAAUAAAUGUGUAGAGAGAGGCUAAGAGAACAAAAACAUCCAUUGGUCGCUUAUACUCAGAAUUUUAGUAGACUACGAAAAAGGAACACAAACAGAUGAGCUGUCGUGCCUGACGCCAUCCGCCAAAGAUAAGAAGAACCUCGAGCUGUUGCUGUUAAGAAGAUUUAGGAUGAAUAUAAAGGUGGUGUUGUUGGUGUUGGUGACGUUUGUGUGGGUGGCGUUGGGGGCACCAAAUGUCAUCAAAACACCAAGAGACUUCCCAGGACAAAGACGCCUUGGGAGGACGAAUUACGGCACUCACAGCUUCGGCAGUACUGGCUACAGCAGAUAUCCUAUCGCGAGGAGCUCAAGAAGACGAAACUUCGGUUAGCCUGUGUGGGUGUCGCUCCUGAAGGUAUAAGUCGUCCAGUCGAAGAUUAUUCUUCCUUCUAUACUUGACCUUCCCAGCUACCAACCACCCUAAAUACCAACCAUCCCAGCUAUCAACUAACCCAGCUACCAUCUACCCCAGCUACCAACCAUCCCAGCUACCAACCAUCCCAGCUACCAACCAUCCCAGCUACCAACUAUCCCAGCUACCAACCACCCCAGUUACCAACCACCCCAGCUACCUACCAUCCGAGCUACCUACCACCCCAGCUACCAACCAACCACCACAGCUACCAACCACCGCAGCUACCAACCACCGCAGCUAGCAGCCAUCCCAGCUACCAACUAUCCCAGCUACAACCACCCCAACUACCAACUAUCCCAGCUAUCAACUAUCCCAGCUACCAACUAUCCCAGCUACCUACCAUCCCAGUUACCAACUAUCCCUAACUACCUACCACCCCAGCUACCAACCUCCCAGCUACCUAUCAUCCACUCAACAACUGUCUAAUAUAGGCUAUAUCCGUCCGGCCAAAUUUUCGAUGGUUUUCAAAUAUGAUGCCAAUUCUAUCCACCACACGUCUUUGCCGGUGCAAAGUAGGCAAGUAUCUCAGCUAUACAGAAUUACAUGUACUUGCUCUAUCUUCACGUGAUAUUAUAAUAUAUAUUAUAUAUAUAUAUGUGUGUGUAUGUGUGUGUGUGUGUGUGUGUGUUAUACAACUUUCACAUUUUCUGUCAUAUGAUCCUUCAUUUCAGUUAAAGAUAUUUGAAAAGGUUUGGUGUAAUACAGUAGAUAUUACCUUCAUAGUUAUGAUUAUUGUAUAUCAGUUAUCUACUAGUUGCAUGUUAAAAGAGAAUGUUAAAACUUGGCAGUACUAUUUUAUAACCUUUAACAAGAGCCUUUUCACCAGAAAAUCCCAAUACUUUUUAUUUUAUGCAGUAUUGUUUUCAGGCAUUUUUGUAUAGUUAAAAGUAUUUACUAUUGACAUCAGAAUAUCUCUUAAUAUCAAGUGCGCUUGGCUUCAAAAUG
rnacentral:lncRNA from 1 species